GUGUUUGCUUCAGCAGCACAUGUGCUAAAAUUGUAACAAUACAGAGAAGAUUAGCAUGGCCCCUGUGCAAGGAUGACAUGCAAAUUCCUGAAGCAUUCCAUGUAUUU